GACGAACGCUGGCGGCGCGCUUAACACAUGCGAGUCGAACGGAAAGGCCCUGCUUUUGUGGGGUGCUCGAGUGGCGAACGGGUGAGUAACACGUGAGUAACCUGCCCUUGACUUUGGGAUAACUUCAGGAAACUGGGGCUAAUACCGGAUAGGAGCUCCUGCUGCAUGGUGGGGGUUGGAAAGUUUCGGCGGUUGGGGAUGGACUCGCGGCUUAUCAGCUUGUUGGUGGGGUAGUGGCUUACCAAGGCUUUGACGGGUAGCCGGCCUGAGAGGGUGACCGGCCACAUUGGGACUGAGAUACGGCCCAGACUCCUACGGGAGGCAGCAGUGGGGAAUAUUGCACAAUGGGCGGAAGCCUGAUGCAGCAACGCCGCGUGCGGGAUGACGGCCUUCGGGUUGUAAACCGCUUUCGCCUGUGACGAAGCGUGAGUGACGGUAAUGGGUAAAGAAGCACCGGCUAACUACGUG
rnacentral:rRNA from 1 species